UACAGAGGUCUCAAGCGUUGUUCGGAUUCAUUGGGCGUAAAGGGUGCGUAGGCGGCGCGGUAAGUCGGGUGUGAAAUUUCGGAGCUUAACUCCGAAACUGCAUUCGAUACUACCGUGCUUGAGGACUGGAGAGGAGACUGGAAUUUACGGUGUAGCGGUGAAAUGCGUAGAUAUCGUAAGGAAGACCAGUGGCGAAGGCGGGUCUCUGGACAGUUCCUGACGCUGAGGCACGAAGGCCAGGGGAGCAAACGGG
rnacentral:rRNA from 1 species